AACGAACGCUGGCGGCAGGCUUAACACAUGCGAGUCGAGGGGUAACUAGAGUGAUAGCAAUAUUACUUUGGCUAGACCGGCGCACGGGUGCGUAACACGUAUGCAACCUACCUUAUACUGGGGAAUAACUUCGAGAAAUCGGCGCUAAUACCCCAUAACACUGCGGAGAGGCAUCUCUUUGCAGUUAAAGCUCCGGCGGUAUAAGAUGGGCAUGCGUCCAAUUAGCUAGUUGGUGAGGUAACGGCUCACCAAGGCUACGAUUGGUAGGGGUUCUGAGAGGGUGAUCCCCCACACUGGUACUGAGACACGGACCAGACACCUACGGGAGGCAGCAGUGAGGAAUAUUGCGCAAUGGACGAAAGUCUGACGCAGCCAUGCCGCGUGCAGGAUGACGGCCCUAUGGGUUGUAAACUGCUUUUGUACGGGAAUAAACCCUUCUACGUGUAGGAGGCUGAAGGUACCGUAAGAAUAAGCACCGGCUAACUCCGUGCCAGCCGCCGCCGUAA
rnacentral:rRNA from 1 species